AGUCUCUCUCCUGCUGCCUUGUGAACAAGGUGCCUGCUUUUGCUUCGCCUUCUGCUUUGAUUGAUCUUAUUGACUUUGGAACUAAGAAGUGCCAAGAGCCUUUGGAGAUGACUUUUGAACUAGCAGAGGGCAUUCAAUGCCUGGAUCCCUUGAAUGGUCACCUUAGAGACAUCCCUGCCUGUGAACAGACACUUGAUUAGCCUUAGGCAGUCCUGUGCAUCACAGCCUUCUGCAAUACCUGCCAGAUCAUCUACAGAAGCUAGGGUGAAAACCCAGGGUAUUAUAUCCUUAGAAUUUAUUUCUACCAGAAAGUUGCCACUUUAUAUAUUCUGCCAACAAGCUUGCUUGCAAGAGGAGAAGCCACUAUUAUUCCCGAGUCAGUGGCAUGAACACGUGGACUGCAGAGAUAACUGAGAUCUACAUUCCACCCUUCUCCUUCCCAUUCCAUAUCUUGGGAAGCUGAUGUCUAUAGACUGCAUUAAUGAACUUCCAUACCAUCUGACUUCCAGUUAAGUUUGGCCAAAAGGAGUCAUUGGAAUGAGAUCAGAGGGUAGGAAGAAAGAGAAGUUGGAUAAUUUUUCCUCUCACUCAUCCUUGUCAGGUCUAAAGGGGUUCUUGUUCUCUCUCUCCCAUUGCACUAAAGGUAGUAGCAGUUUCCCUAGGUUGCUAAUCUCAGGAGUUUUAUAUUCCUUGUUGAUUUUCCUUAACCCUCCUAUAAUUUUAAAAAUAAUCUCUUCCCGAAACUCCCCUUUGCCAUCUGUCUCCUGUUAGGAUAUGACUGGUAGACCAAUCCAGGGUCUCAAUGGGAAGUGGUUAGUGACAGAGCUAGGCCGAUAUUCCAACCUGUGAGCUUAUUCAUAAGAUACAACUUUUUUUUUCAUUUUCCUUUUUUUUCUCUACUGGGUGACCACAUUUUGUGCCAUUAUGCAAAGAGUUUAAUGCUACCCUUUCUUAGUAUAUUGCCUACCUCAGGAGCUCAGCAAUGAUUGUGUCAUGCUCAUCACAAUGUGUUGCUCCAAUAGCAGCCAAACAGUCACACCCCUUCCAUAUGUCUGCUAAUACUUUGACCAUCUGUAGAGCCAUGCAUGGUGUAGGACACAAGUAAUAGACUUGGCUUCUGAGGGCUCACAUUCUGGUUCUAGACCUAUCAUUUUCCAGCUGUAAGUCACUGAGACUCUGAGACUCAGAAUCCAUACAAUGGGGAUAAUCUUGCUAAGUCCUGCCUAACUUUUUAAAAAAUAAUUUCAACUUUUAUUUUAGAUUCAGAGGGUACAUGCACAGGUCUGUCACAUGGGAACACUGCAUGAUGCUGAGGUUUGAGGUAUGGAUGAUCCUGUCACUCAAGGCAGUGAGCACAGCACCCAAUUGGCAGUCCCCCAGUCCUUAAGCCCUCCCUCCCUUUCUCCCUUCCUCCUUCAGCAGUCCUUAUUGUUCAUUGCUCCCAUCUUUAUGUGUGUGUGUAUUCAAUGUUUAGCUUCCACUUAUAAGUGAUAACAUGCAGUAUUUUGUUUUCAGUGCUUGCAUUAAUUUGCUUAGGAUAAUGGCCUCCAGCUUCAUCCAUGUUGCUGCAAAGGACAUGUUUUUGGUCUUUUAGUAUUCCAUGGUAUAUAUGUGCCACAUUUACUUUAUCCAGUCCAUCGCUGAUGGGCACCUAGGUUGAUUCCAUGUCUUUGUUAUUGUGAAUAGUGCUGAGAUGAACAUAUGGGUGCAUGUGUCUCUUUGGUAGAAUGAUUUAUUUUGCUUUGGGUAUAUACUUAGUAAUGGGAUUGUUGGGUCAAAUGGUAGUUCUGUUUCAAGUUCCUUGAGAAAUCUCCAAACCACUUUCUACAGUAGCUGAAGUAAUUUACAUUCCCACCAACAGUGUAUACGUCCUGCCUAACUUAUAGAAAUAUUAUGAGUUGAAACUUCUGUCACAAAUGUGAGGUUCAAAG
rnacentral:lncRNA from 10 species